AUUGAACGCUGGCGGCAUGCCUUACACAUGCAAGUCGAACGGUAACGGGCCUUCGGGUGCCGACGAGUGGCGAACGGGUGAGUAAUGUAUCGGAACGUACCUUUCAGUGGGGGAUAACGUAGCGAAAGUUACGCUAAUACCGCAUAUUCUGUGAGCAGGAAAGCAGGGGAUCGCAAGACCUUGCGCUGAUUGAGCGGCCGAUAUCAGAUUAGCUAGUUGGUGAGGUAAAGGCUCACCAAGGCGACGAUCUGUAGCGGGGCUGAGAGGAUGAUCCGCCACACUGGAACUGAGACACGGUCCGAACUCCUACGGGAGGCAGCAGUGGGGAAUUUUGGACAAUGGGGGCAACCCUGAUCCAGCCAUGCCGCGUGAGUGAAGAAGGCCUUCGGGUUGUAAAGCUCUUUCGGCCGGGAAGAAAUCGUAUCAGCUAAUACCUGGUGCGGAUGACGGUACCGGCAUAAGAAGCACCGGCUAACUACGUGCCAGCCGCCGCAGUAAAAC
rnacentral:rRNA from 1 species